rnacentral:lncRNA from 1 species
GACAGAGCGGGACGGACGGGCAGACAUUUAGACGGACAGACGGGGACGUUUUGGAGGCACCAUGGAUGCAGACUUUGAGGACGAUGGUGCAGACAGGCGGCUGCGCAGACAGAGCAUGCCCAGUGGUCCCGUCACGGACACGCCCACCGCCAGAGUGACAGUGAGACCCCACACACUCACACACACACACGCCCCUCCCCCAAGAGCAGCCUGUGGUUUCCGUGGUAACGCCAGCUCAGAGGCUGUCAGCUGAAGGGCUCCACCUACAGGUGAGGUGUGACAUCACAGCAGAGACAGGUGUCAGGUCUGUUCCUGCACAGCCUCAGCAGAGCAGGGAGCGUUCAUGGUGGACCUCACUGUGGGAGGAGGAGCAUCUCAACAUCACGGUCAAGUUCAUACUGUAGACCAAACUUCAAUCAGAAAGUCCUUUAGAAGUCAGAGAGUCAUCAGAAGAGCAUUUCUCUGAGGGUUAGAGAGUCCGUCUGCCUCCAAGAUCCUGAUCUGUGGUGUUUCUGCAGCAGACGAUGACCUGCUUUCCUGAUCUCCAUUUCCUUCUGCGUCUCCUCAGGGUUUUCUGUCCCACAGACUGAAGCAGUCUCUGCGGCGCACCCGCUCCCAGCCCAAACUGUCCCGGCACAGGAGCCUGAAGACCGACCCGCUCAACAGCACUGACACCAGGUAACGGGGCCAAAGGUCGUCGUUCUGACAAACCUGUUGGACUUGAACAGAGAGGGUUCGCUGUGGAACCACGGCCCGGUCUGCCUCCUGGUUCUGAUUGGACCCGGGUCGACCCGGCUCGCCCUCUGCUCUGUGGAUGUGGAAGAUGUUCUUCAGCGGGGGAGAACGCCGGGCCCUCCUCGCAGAGCGUGCACGUUCCACCAGAGGAGGGGCUGAACAAGGACACAAGGAGAUGAGGGGAGGAAGUAGGGCAGCUUCACUGCAGGGGAGGGGUGACUGCUGACAGAGGGGGAGAGAGAGGCAGAGAGAGCCGGGGCUGCGAUGCUUUGUAGCAUCCGCUAGCAGACAGACAGACGGACAGACAGACAGGUCCUCAGCCCUUCCAACAAACAGCAUCAGGAUUAGCAGCUUCUCCAUCUUUCUCAUCCUCCUGUCUGCAGCGGAGGGAGGACAUGGCUUCCUAACCCCCUCUCCUCUCCUCUCCUCCCUUCUCCUCUGCUCUCCUCCUCACUCAAAAUGCUCGGUUAGUAUCUCUGGCUCUCAUUAAGCGUCUUUGUAAUUUAAAAAAGUCUAUUCUGCAGUGUGUGUGACGGGGGUGCACACACGGCGGUGUCCUCCACCUCAUUUGCAUGUCCAUGCAUGCUGCGUUUCUGUGUGUGUGUGUGUGUGUGUGUGUUAUCCAAGCUGCAGUCUGCACACAGCUAGCCUGCUCUGUUAGCAUGUAGCUACAGUUAGCAGCAUGUUAACCUGAAAAUGUUCAUCCACACACACAUUAGCAGUGUUAGCGUUCAGAUGAUGAGCGUGGUUGUUGGCCUUGGAGGUUCUUUUCCUGCUCCCUGCAGUUCUCCUGGAAGCUCCAGGCUCCUCUGGAGG